GGGGUCGCUGUGAGCUAGCUACUGCUUGGCAAAUCACGGAGCCUUACUUGUGAAAGUCUAUUCUUUUUAGAGGACAGAGAAUAGAUCCGUGUGACCUUCUGAUUAUAGAAUCUUCCUGCUGAUUUGUGAGAGACGUUGAUUUGAUGCUGAUUCGUAAUUUGUGAGAGAUGGAUUGAGCUAGAGGUCACGAAGUGACUCAAGA
rnacentral:lncRNA from 12 species